rnacentral:rRNA from 1 species
AAGGGCGCACGGUGGAUGCCUUGGCACUAGAAGCCGAUGAAGGACGUUACUAACGACGAUAUGCUUUGGGGAGCUGUAAGUAAGCUUUGAUCCAGAGAUUUCCGAAUGGGGAAACCCAGCAUGAGUUAUGUCAUGUUAUCGAUAUGUGAAUACAUAGCAUAUCAGAAGGCACACCCGGAGAACUGAAACAUCUUAGUACCCGGAGGAAGAGAAAGAAAAUUCGAUUCCCUUAGUAGCGGCGAGCGAAACGGGAAGAGCCCAAACCAACAAGCUUGCUUGUUGGGGUUGUAGGACACUCUAUACGGAGUUACAAAGGACGACAUUAGACGAAUCAUCUGGAAAGAUGAAUCAAAGAAGGUAAUAAUCCUGUAGUCGAAAAUGUUGUCUCUCUUGAGUGGAUCCUGAGUACGACGGAGCACGUGAAAUUCCGUCGGAAUCUGGGAGGACCAUCUCCUAAGGCUAAAUACUCUCUAGUGACCGAUAGUGAACCAGUACCGUGAGGGAAAGGUGAAAAGCACCCCGGAAGGGGAGUGAAAUAGAACCUGAAACCGUGUGCUUACAAGUAGUCAGAGCCCGUUAAUGGGUGAUGGCGUGCCUUUUGUAGAAUGAACCGGCGAGUUACGAUUUGAUGCAAGGUUAAGCAGUAAAUGUGGAGCCGUAGCGAAAGCGAGUCUGAAUAGGGCGUUUAGUAUUUGGUCGUAGACCCGAAACCAGGUGAUCUACCCUUGGUCAGGUUGAAGUUCAGGUAACACUGAAUGGAGGACCGAACCGACUUACGUUGAAAAGUGAGCGGAUGAACUGAGGGUAGCGGAGAAAUUCCAAUCGAACCUGGAGAUAGCUGGUUCUCUCCGAAAUAGCUUUAGGGCUAGCCUCAAGUGAUGAUUAUUGGAGGUAGAGCACUGUUUGGACGAGGGGCCCCUCUCGGGUUACCGAAUUCAGACAAACUCCGAAUGCCAAUUAAUUUAACUUGGGAGUCAGAACAUGGGUGAUAAGGUCCGUGUUCGAAAGGGAAACAGCCCAGACCACCAGCUAAGGUCCCAAAAUAUAUGUUAAGUGGAAAAGGAUGUGGCGUUGCCCAGACAACUAGGAUGUUGGCUUAGAAGCAGCCAUCAUUUAAAGAGUGCGUAAUAGCUCACUAGUCGAGUGACACUGCGCCGAAAAUGUACCGGGGCUAAACAUAUUACCGAAGCUGUGGAUUGUCCUUUGGACAAUGGUAGGAGAGCGUUCUAAGGGCGUUGAAGCAUGAUCGUAAGGACAUGUGGAGCGCUUAGAAGUGAGAAUGCCGGUGUGAGUAGCGAAAGACGGGUGAGAAUCCCGUCCACCGAUUGACUAAGGUUUCCAGAGGAAGGCUCGUCCGCUCUGGGUUAGUCGGGUCCUAAGCUGAGGCCGACAGGCGUAGGCGAUGGAUAACAGGUUGAUAUUCCUGUACCACCUAUAAUCGUUUUAAUCGAUGGGGGGACGCAGUAGGAUAGGCGAAGCGUGCGAUUGGAUUGCACGUCUAAGCAGUAAGGCUGAGUAUUAGGCAAAUCCGGUACUCAUUAAGGCUGAGCUGUGAUGGGGAGAAGACAUUGUGUCUUCGAGUCGUUGAUUUCACACUGCCGAGAAAAGCCUCUAGAUAGAAAAUAGGUGCCCGUACCGCAAACCGACACAGGUAGUCAAGAUGAGAAUUCUAAGGUGAGCGAGCGAACUCUCGUUAAGGAACUCGGCAAAAUGACCCCGUAACUUCGGGAGAAGGGGUGCUCUUUAGGGUUAACGCCCAGAAGAGCCGCAGUGAAUAGGCCCAAGCGACUGUUUAUCAAAAACACAGGUCUCUGCUAAACCGUAAGGUGAUGUAUAGGGGCUGACGCCUGCCCGGUGCUGGAAGGUUAAGAGGAGUGGUUAGCUUCUGCGAAGCUACGAAUCGAAGCCCCAGUAAACGGCGGCCGUAACUAUAACGGUCCUAAGGUAGCGAAAUUCCUUGUCGGGUAAGUUCCGACCCGCACGAAAGGCGUAACGAUUUGGGCACUGUCUCAACGAGAGACUCGGUGAAAUCAUAGUACCUGUGAAGAUGCAGGUUACCCGCGACAGGACGGAAAGACCCCGUGGAGCUUUACUGUAGCCUGAUAUUGAAAUUCGGCACAGCUUGUACAGGAUAGGUAGGAGCCUUUGAAACGUGAGCGCUAGCUUACGUGGAGGCGCUGGUGGGAUACUACCCUAGCUGUGUUGGCUUUCUAACCCGCACCACUUAUCGUGGUGGGAGACAGUGUCAGGCGGGCAGUUUGACUGGGGCGGUCGCCUCCUAAAAGGUAACGGAGGCGCUCAAAGGUUCCCUCAGAAUGGUUGGAAAUCAUUCAUAGAGUGUAAAGGCAUAAGGGAGCUUGACUGCGAGACCUACAAGUCGAGCAGGGUCGAAAGACGGACUUAGUGAUCCGGUGGUUCCGCAUGGAAGGGCCAUCGCUCAACGGAUAAAAGCUACCCCGGGGAUAACAGGCUUAUCUCCCCAAGAGUUCACAUCGACGGGGAGGUUUGGCACCUCGAUGUCGGCUCAUCGCAUCCUGGGGCUGUAGUCGGUCCCAAGGGUUGGGCUGUUCGCCCAUUAAAGCGGUACGCGAGCUGGGUUCAGAACGUCGUGAGACAGUUCGGUCCCUAUCCGUCGUGGGCGUAGGAAAUUUGAGAGGAGCUGUCCUUAGUACGAGAGGACCGGGAUGGACAUACCUCUGGUGUACCAGUUGUCGUGCCAACGGCAUAGCUGGGUAGCUAUGUGUGGACGGGAUAAGUGCUGAAAGCAUCUAAGCAUGAAGCCCCCCUCAAGAUGAGAUUUCCCAACUUCGGUUAUAAGAUCCCUCAAAGAUGAUGAGGUUAAUAGGUUCGAGGUGGAAGCAUGGUGACAUGUGGAGCUGACGAAUACUAAUCGAUCGAAGACUUAAUCAA